UACGUAGGGCGCGAGCGUUGUCCGGAAUUAUUGGGCGUAAAGAGCUCGUAGGCGGCUUGUCACGUCGGGUGUGAAAGCCCCGGGGCUUAACCCCGGGUCGUGCAUUCGAUACGGGCUAGCUAGAGUGUGGUAGGGGAGAGUCGGAAUUCCUGGUGUAGCGGUGAAAUGCGUAGAUAUCGGGAGGAACACCAGUGGCGAAGGCGACUACCUGGCCUGUUCUUGACGCUGAGGCGCGAAAGCUAGGGGAGCAAACGGGG
rnacentral:rRNA from 1 species